UACGUAGGGUGCGAGCGUUAAUCGGAAUUACUGGGCGUAAAGCGUGCGCAGGCGGUUUUGUAAGUCUGUCGUGAAAGCCCCCGGGCUCAACCUGGGAAUUGCGAUGGAGACUGCAAGGCUUGAAUCUGGCAGAGGGGGGUAGAAUUCCACGUGUAGCAGUGAAAUGCGUAGAGAUGUGGAGGAACACCGAUGGCGAAGGCAGCCCCCUGGGUCAAGAUUGACGCUCAUGCACGAAAGCGUGGGGAGCAAACAGG
rnacentral:rRNA from 1 species